UCUCCUGUUUUAUAAACCCAUCUGCUCUCUGACAGUGUCACGCAGAGUCCAGUGCCUCAGCAAGACACUUCCUUCAACCCUUCUCCAGGACUGCUAAGGCCACCUAAGAAAAGGCAUCAUUCUUCUAGAUUUCUGGGGAGACAUGUAACUGGAUUUGAGAUCAGCCAGCCCCAUUGCUGUGCUUGCAGGUUACAAUCAGGUUAAAACACCAAUACAGGACCUGAGUUCAAAGCUCUCUCCUGUCUGAGGGAAUCAGAACCUGCAGCAUCCAGUCACAGCUGGCCACCAGCAGGAGAAUAAUUAGAACUUGGAAGGAAGGAAGAGUAAUAUUUAAUCAGCCCUGCUGAAGUAAUUUCUCCUGUCCCACGGCUACAUGUGCCCAGAGGGGAUGAAGCAGCACCACCAGAGCUGCCAGAGCAGAAAGGAGGAGACACAGACCCCAUGGAAACCUGGAAGUGGACUGGCUCCAGGCAAAUCUGUUUUUACAGAGGAGGCACAGACGUGGCAGAGGAGGCCUCCACUUUGCUUCCUGCCACUAAGGCUGCUGAGCAAGCAGCCUGUUGCAUUAUCCACUGGCUUUAAUUUGCAAAUAGCCUUAAAGCACUGCAGAAAACAACAUGGGAAUUUUUUUUAAUGAUGGUAACAAAGGUUGGGCUGUCUGUGUAAAGCCUGCAAUGUAAUCACUGAACAACCAAAGAGUACACAAGAUGUCAUGUAGGAACAAAGAGGUCAGCCUGAGCAGAGGAGGGAAUGAAAGCAGAGAAAAGGAUUCAUAUUCCCUGAACAAAGCCUCUGCACUGUCAUUUCUGGACACUAAACCUAUCUGGGCACAAUUAAAAAUCCAAACAAAUAAAUAGAACUGUUUCACAUGCUUUUGAAUUUACCUGCCAGAGCAGUGGCUGUGUUCUUUAAUCACCCCAACAGACAGCCUGGAAAGAGUUCAAAGAGCAGUUCUGUAUCUAGUUUCUACUGAAAUUCAGGGGUGCUGGCCAUUUAGCUCCUCUCUGUGUUGAAGGCUCACCCACAAGUUUGUGAGACAAUGCUUCCCCACGGCCUCCUUCUUUUCCUGUAGAGGACCUCUUGAUGAGCUCUCCAGAACUAAUCACCAUACACUGCUUACCUAUUCCCUUUCCAGGCUGGUGAUAUUAUAGUUAUUACAGUGUCCUGUCAUGCCUUCAGUUUGUUAAACUCCUAAUGAGAGAACCUAAUUCCUUCCCUGGCUUGUUGGGAGGCUUGGCCAGUGGUGCUGUGUAAAUGAAGAAGAUGGUUAUUACUAUGAUAAUGAUUAUGUUUCAUUAGUAAUAACAAGGAACUCUGGUCAGGUAUGGCAUAUAUACAGGAAAUGAGAGAAAGUACCUACUUGAAAAGAAGGUUAAAGAAGUUGGUACUUUUCAUCAAAUGAGAGGAGAGAUUUGCAUGUGAAACAGAAUGUGAUGAGCUUGGUAAAAAAAUCCCUACUCUGACUAACUCCAAUUUAAAAAUUAUUUAAUUUUGCUAUGUAUUUUAGCCCAAGGAACACUGUUUUCCUGCAAGUACGCAGGCAAGGUCAUGAAUUCCUCACGGAAAUACUUGGGGGAAGGGAAGGGUGAGCACAUAAAUUGGGUGAAUCAUGUUCCAAUGAGAACUCCACGCCCUGAGUGAGAGGAGAGCUCAAAGAGAGAGCUCCUUUCCUGUGCCAGAGAGGCAAUGACUAAGGAAGCAAGAAAAAGGCCAGGCAAGUUAAGGAUGGUCUUUUCCUACUGCAGCCUCACAGCUUUGGCAGUCAGUAGGGUUUUGGCUCCCUGAAGAGGCCCAGAUGGCACCUGGACACAAGAGUGCUGAUAUUCAACAAGGAUCUGCCUCACUUUUCUGAUUGCUCAUGAGCUGUGGUGUACCAGUGCAUCUGGGCCUGAUGCAAAUGUAUUUCAGACAGCAGAGUACAGGGGGAAAGAGAGAUGCAAGUCCCCUGUCAGGUACAGUUAGCUCAUGUUUAGCUGGUGAUCCAGUUAUCUCCUCACAAGGGAUGUGCAGGCCACAACUAUUUAAAACAUGACACAACAAAUAAUUUCAAACAGAAAUUUGCUCACAGCAACUUCCUUUCAAAGAAUGUUUUUCUUCAAGAACUGAUUCUUUGUAGCUCAUGGAGCAAGACUUAAGCCAGAAAAACCUGUUUAUGCCAUGGGAAAUCCCUUAGCAGCUGCAAGGGGCUGUCAGUAAAGCCCUUUCCAAACAGCAAGCUACUGAAAUCAAUGUUUAUUAAAAAGCAGUGUGGACACUAUCCCAUGCCCUGGAUUUUCAGCACAGCAACAAGAUGUGAGUCAGACAAGUGCUGCUGUGUCCCACUUAAACAUGGAUGGAGAAACCCAACAGAACAAGAAAUAUGCCAAAACAACCAUGUAUUGUAUCUGUUUAUUGUUUUCCAUUUUGACAUUCAUUCAAAACUCUCAUCAUGAUCCAUCUAUGUCCCAAAACCAGUAUUAUUCUUCCAGAGAAAACUAGGAAACUCGUUAUCUUCCUUUAGAACAUACAAACUUGCACCUCAACAUAAACGUAAAAAAUCCCACAUAUGAUGUCCUGUACUGGAAGGUAAUUUUUGCAAAACAUUGCAAUAGGUGAUACAUCUCCAACAUUCUUGUUUGCUCACAAUCUGUUCAGAGGAUGUCUCAGGUGUCUGAGCAUAGAAAUAGCUCUGCUUCAUGUCAUCUGCAAAGCCUUGGAGGAAAAUCACUGGAAGUGGAGGAAUAGGAAGAUAAAAUUUACAGGGAGUAGCAAGAACAGCAUAGGAAUUUUUUUUUAAUUAGUCAGAUAAAUUAAAAUGUAAGAGAAACACUGGAUAUAGUUUCUUCUUAUUUUUACAAAUGGCUAUAGCUUUAACCUUAGCAAUUCAGAGCUUGUACAUCUGCACAAACA